AGCAGCCGCGGUAAUUCCAGCUCCAAUAGCGUAUAUUAAAGUUGUUGCAGUUAAAAAGCUCGUAGUUGAAUUUUAGGCCUGGCCGGGCGGUCCGUCUUUGGCGAGUACUGUCCUGUGUCGGGUCCACCUUCUGGUGAACCAGUAUGUCCUUUAUUGGGUGUGCCGGGGAGCCAGGACCAUUACCUUGAAAAAAUUUAGAGUGUUUAAAGCAGGCAUUUGCUUGAAUAGAUUAGCAUGGAAUAAUAGAAUAGGACGUUGUGGUUCUAUUUUGUUGGUUUCUAGGACCACCGUAAUGAUUAAUAGGGAUAGUUGGGGGCAUUAGUAUUCAAUUGUCAGAGGUGAAAUUCUUGGAUUUAUUGAAGACUAACUAUUGCGAAAGCAUUUGCCAAGGAUGUUUUCAUUAAUCAAGAACGAAAGUUA
rnacentral:rRNA from 1 species